rnacentral:hammerhead_ribozyme from 1 species
AUCCAGCUGACGAAUCCUAAAUAGGACGAAAUGCGCAUCCUGGAU